CUAGAGUUUGAUCAUGGCUCAGAUUGAACGCUGGCGGCAGGCCUAACACAUGCAAGUCGAGCGGAAACGAUGGAAGCUUGCUUCCAGGCGUCGAGCGGCGGACGGGUGAGUAAUGCAUAGGAAUCUGCCCGAUAGUGGGGGAUAACGUGGGGAAACCCACGCUAAUACCGCAUACGUCCUACGGGAGAAAGCAGGGGAUCUUCGGACCUUGCGCUAUCGGAUGAGCCUAUGUCGGAUUAGCUAGUUGGUGAGGUAAUGGCUCACCAAGGCGACGAUCCGUAGCUGGUCUGAGAGGAUGAUCAGCCACACUGGGACUGAGACACGGCCCAGACUCCUACGGGAGGCAGCAGUGGGGAAUAUUGGACAAUGGGGGAAACCCUGAUCCAGCCAUGCCGCGUGUGUGAAGAAGGCCUUCGGGUUGUAAAGCACUUUCAGCGAGGAAGAAGGCCUGAGGGUUAAUACCCUUCAGGAAGGACAUCACUCGC
rnacentral:rRNA from 1 species